UGGGGAAUAUUGCACAAUGGGCGCAAGCCUGAUGCAGCAACGCCGCGUGAACGAUGAAGGUCUUCGGAUCGUAAAGUUCUGUUGCAGGGGAAGAUAAUGACGGUACCCUGUGAGGAAGCCCCGGCUAACUACGUGCCAGCAGCCGCGGUAAUACGUAGGGGGCUAGCGUUAUCCGGAUUUACUGGGCGUAAAGGGUGCGUAGGUGGUCUUUCAAGUCGGUGGUUAAAGGCUACGGCUCAACCGUAGUUAGCCUCCGAAACUGGAAGACUUGAGUGCAGGAGAGGAAAGUGGAAUUCCCAGUGUAGCGGUGAAAUGCGUAGAUAUUGGGAGGAACACCAGUAGCGAAGGCGGCUUUCUGGACUGCAACUGACACUGAGGCACGUAAGCGUGGGUAGCAAACAGG
rnacentral:rRNA from 1 species